UACGUAGGGGGCAAGCGUUGUCCGGAAUCAUUGGGCGUAAAGAGCGUGUAGGCGGUCCGGUCAGUCGGUUGUGAAAGUCAAGGGCUCAACCCUUGAAUGCCGGCCGAUACUGCCGGGCUAGAGUCCGGAAGAGGUGAGUGGAAUUCCUGGUGUAGCGGUGAAAUGCGCAGAUAUCAGGAGGAACACCAAUGGCGAAGGCAGGUCAGUGGGACGAUACUGACGCUGAGGCGCGAAAGCGUGGGGAGCGAACAGG
rnacentral:rRNA from 1 species